CGGGCAGACUUCCGGGCGGGCCCGCGCGCCACCCGUCCUCCAGGUGUGAAUGGCUGCGAGGGGCCUGGCUUCCGGCGAGCUGCAAAUGGCGACCGCAAAAGGCAGGUGCCCAGCCACUAACUUCGGGCUCUGGGCCGAGGGCCGCUCCCCUGAGAAGAGGCCAGUUUGGAGGCCGCGGCAGGCAGCGUUUCCCGCCCUGCUGGUCUCCGGGGUGGCGCUCACUGCGAUCCCAGGAGGGUCGGCUAACAUCUUCCUUUUACAGACCAGGGAUUGAAGCAGGACAGACUGGGAGUUGCCGUUCCUCUCAUUCCUUCCCCAUCAGUCAGGGGUGCCUGAGAGAUGACGUCCACCCAGACGUAAAGCAGAUGGUUUUUCUAUGGGAAGCAAGGCCCGUGAGAACGUUCUUUCCUGGAACUCCCAAAUCAUGGACAUUAGUCAACAGCCAUGCCACAGCCUACCCGGACAUACUAUGUUCAUGUAGAGUCAUGUAUUCAUCUCCAGCUGUAGAAAAGAAUAUAUCAAAGCCCAUGUUUCUACACUGACUACCAGAGUUAUUGUUCUGCCUCAGUGUAGACCAACAGCUUAACUCCACUUCAACCCCUAGCCUGGGGGACGUCCAUAGGCUGCGGGUGCAGCAAGGAAAAAAGGACAAAGAAAUAGCGUCUUGAGAACACUGGCUUGAGAUGGGAAGAAAUCAGGGCUGCAGGGCCGUAGGGGGAGGUGUGUGUCUGCUCCACUACACAGCAGCAGCGACGUAAGCAUCAGAAAUUAGGCAGGAAGGUUACAGAGACACCCUCCCAUCCCCAUUUAAGACUGGAAAUAGGAUGAAGUUGAAGGGAAGGGGUGAGAGCAGAGCUGGGCCCCUUCCAGCCGUCACCACAGGCCUGGGGCUGCACCCCGGCGGGAGGCUGCUCACUGGGACCCCUGGGUUCUGACCAACAGGAGGGCAGCCCAGCCUGCCCCUAACUCCACAGGGCCAGUGGGCGCUGUCCAGCGGGGCCUCCACUGGGGGCUGCCACCUGGCUGGAGGAAACAGGGCGAGCUCUCAAAACUGUAAGUGCUCCCUCUCGAGCCCACCAGAGGCUUCCUAGGGUUUCAUGGUCUCCCUCGCAGGCCUCUCUGCUGUGUUUGCUAUCAUGACAGGGCCACUUACCAUUGCCCGCCAUGGUCCUUCGGGAGUUAAUGCCAGACAGCUGCCUCGGAGACACUGGCUCUCUGCUGAUGGAGCCAGGCUGGGGGGAGCCUGUCCCUGUGGGAAUGUAUAAAGGCCACCCAGGGGGACCAGCCAUCCUGCCUCAGAGUCCCCCUGAGGAGGAGCCAGCUGUCUGCUCCCUCCCUGAGUUGCGCAGUAGACCCAAGUCCACGUCCGGGUUGUGAUAACUAUUCAGCCGGCCAGCAAGGCUUUUGAAGCAAAACGGUCUAACUGGAGUUGGAGAAGGACAGCAUCCAGAAACACCAGUUCCGUAGGGGGUGAGCUGCAAGGAACAAGCAAGAAGCUCAUACACUAUGCAUCGCCAGGAGUUCCCAUCGUGGCACAGCGGAAAUGAAUCUGACUAGGAACCAUGAGGUUUCAGGUUCGAUCCCUGGCCUCAAUCAGCAGGUUAAGGAUCUGGCGUUGCCAUGAGUUGUGGUGAAGGUUGCAGACGCGGCUCGGAUCUGGUGGUGGUGUAGGCCAGCAGCUGUAGCUCCGAUUAGACCCCUAGCCUGGGAACCUCCAUAUGCCAUGGGUAUGGCCCUAAAGAGACCAAAAAAAAAAAAAAAAAAAAAAAACAUCGCCAAAGAGGGUCACUGGGCCCUGAGCAUGUGCUCUCAACACCCCCACUCCACCCUUCUGCACAGCAUUGAAAGCUUCCUGGAGGAGAAGGCCCCUUACAGAGGCCUGAGGGGAGGGAAGUCUGUCUAAGCAAAACAUGGACAAAAUGUAUCUGCUGCAAAUUACAAGAAGCUGAUGAAAGAUCAAAGAAGAACUAACUAAAUGGAGACAUGUUAUCAUGUUCACGGACUGGAGGAUUCAACUUUUCCCCAAAUUAAUUUAAAGGUUUAAUGCAAUUCCUAUCAAAAUUCAAAAAAGAAUGUUGGCAGAAACAGGUAAGCUUAUUCUGAAAUUUAUACUGACAAGAGAGCAGGAGGUCUGGCUUGCGAGUGGCCACUUCUCUGUUGCGUGUGGGGAAAGAAUAAAUUUAAAGUGGGUGAUGUUGAGAAGGGCAAGAAGAUUCUUGUUGGGAAGUGUCCUCAGUGCUGUACCGUGGAGGAGGAAGGCAAGCACAAGACUGGCUCCAACCUCCAUGGUCUGGUUGGACUGAAGACGGGCCAGCCUCCUUGGAUUCACUCACCCGAGGAGAGGAGACGCUGGCGGAGACGUGGACAAUCCCGCAAAGGACCUCCCUGGAACAAAAAUGCUCUUUGCUGCCCUUAGGAAGCGGGGAGAAGGGAAGACGUGGUAGCUUAUCUCAAGAAAGCUCCUGAUGAGAACAGAGUGCCGUCGUGGCUCAGUGGUCACGAACCCAACUGGUAUCCAUGAGCAUGUGGGUUCAAGUCUUGGCCUUGCUCAGUGGGUUAAGGAACUGGCAUUGCCGGGAGCUGUGGUGUAGGUCGCAGACACAGCUCGGAUCUGGCGUUGCUGUGGCUGUGGUGUAGGCCGGCAGCUACAGCUCUGAAUAGACCCCUUGCCUGGGUAUGGCCCUCAAGAAAAGACAAAACAAAACCCUGUAGGCGAUUGGUUUUAUAUAUAGAUUUCUAGAACUCGUUUUAUUAAUAUGUUUAAAUACUGAGAAGAUCCCUUUACGGUCUCAGAACAGAGCAAGAUUCACCUGCGUUUCAAGCUCUGUUCACUAACCUGUUAAGGCAAGAGUGGAGGAUAAAUUGACACCGUCCCCUGUAUCUUUUUGGUCUUAAUGAUGCUAAUUUCAUUAAAAGUUCUCUGUGUCUAAAUAACUGCCUUUUGGGAGUUCCCUUCAUGGCUCAGCGGUAACGAGCCCAACUAGCAUCCAUGACUCAGGUUCGAUGCGUUGCCUCAAUCAGUGGGUUAAGGAUCUGGCAUUGCCAUGAGCUGUGGUUUAGGUCAAAGACGUGGCUUGGAUCCCCAGUUGCUGCGGCUGUGGUGGCUGUGGUGUAGGCCAGCAGCUGCAUUCGACCCCUAGCCUGGGAACUUCCAUAUGCUGAAGGUGAAGGUAGGUCGCCGACGCGGCUUGGAUCUGGUAUUGUGGUGGCUGUGGUGUAGGCCAGCGGCUACGGCUCUGAUUGGCCCCCUAGCCUGGGAACCUCCAUAUGCCGCGGGUGUGACCCUAAAAUAAAAAAAUAAAAAUAAAAACUGUAGAACUACUGAGUAUGUGUGAUUAGUAAUGGUGCUUUGGCCAGCUCAUUGGAAGGUUUAAAGCAGAGGAGAACAGAUUUGUAAAUUCUCUGAUCAUAAGGCUUAAUAAUUAGGAGAAAUUAUGUGGAUAGGCCCUAGAAUAGCUUUCAGAAUUCUUUUUUCUUUUUUUUGUCUGCCCCUCAGCAUAAGGAGUUCCCCAGCCGGGGAUCAGUCCCAACCGCAGCUGCAACCAAAGCCACACCUGCAGCAACGCUGGGUCCCUAACCCACUGCUGGGGGCUGGGGAGGGAACCUGUGUCCCAUUGCUCCCAAGAUGCGUUGGAUCCCCUUGCCCCACAGGAAGUUUGGAGCGGGAACUCCGAAACUUCUUGAACGAGAAGAAUACAGUGGGAAGAUCAUCACCUGAUGUCAAGACCUACGGCGGGCCCCUUGUGGCUCCGCGGGUUACGAACCCGACUCGUGUCCAUGAGGAUGCGGGUUCCAACCCUGGCCUAUCCCGCGUGGCCGCGAGCCGCGGUGUCCGUCCCAGUUGGGCCGGGGCGGGGCCGUGGAGCGACCCGGGAGGAAGAACGGGAAAGGGGCGGGGCCUGAGGGCGGGGCGGGGCGGGGCCCGCGAAGACAAAGAGGGGAGCGCCCUGCGCCCCGCAGCGCGCGGGCUGGGUCCGCCCAGUUCGGGGCUCCCCGCGUCAGGCUUGGGGGGCGCGCCCCGCCUGGCGGGCUCUGGGCUCCGCUCCAGCGAUGCGCACCGCUCCGGCGCCUCUGGACCGCGGAGCCCGGCCGCGGCAGCCUCUCCCCAGGGCCUGCUGACCUUUGGGGACGUGGCUACGCACUUCUCCCAGGAAGAAGGGGCACGUCUGGACCUGGGAGAGGGCGUUUAGAGAGGUGAUGCUGGAGACUCGCAGGAACCCGGCCUCCUCAGGAGUCCCAGGAUCCAAACCAGAUCCAGCCUCCCUGCUGGAGCAAGGAAAGCAGCCCUGGGGCUUGGACCUGUGGGGGGCCCAGGAAGGAGAGACCCCGGGAGGCCCUGGCACAGUUGGCGUGGGCAUGUCCGGCCAUCUCCACGACGAGCGGGUCGCCCUGGUCUGCCUGCUCGGGCCAGCAUCACCCGGUGGCCUGCGGAUCGGGCGUGGCAGUGGCACUUCCCUGGACAGACGGAUGCUCUGAAAGCCCGUUUUCAAGGGCAUCCAGAUUUUAAAACUUCAAACGUAGGUCGUGGGCUUUGUUUUCAGCACAGGUGUGUUCUAAAUGCCUUCGAGGUCCGAAGGGGCUACGGGGCUUUCGGGUCGACUUUGAUCACGCAGCAGCCCUGAGCACCUGGUCGCAACUCUAGACUUCAUUUGGUUCUGGCGCUGUUUUCAGAUGCUGAUUUGCCGCAGCGGGAUGGGAUGUUUCCAUCUUAGGCCGCUCGGCCCUGGUGCUCCUGUAGCACCGAAGGCUUUACUCGCUCAGCUUCACGUUCCUGUAAGCUGCCUUUUGGGUUAUGUCGGGCAAGCUUCCUGGCCCAGAGAUCAGAUGCAAGCUGCAGUUUCAACCUAAGUGGGAUCCUUAACCCACUGUGCAGGACCAGCCAUUAAACCUUCGUCCCAGCGCUGCCAAGAUGCCGCUGAUCCCACUGUACCACAGCAGGAAUUCCUACAUUUAUUCUUUUGAAUAUUGGACCAUCUCUUGAAUUUUAGAAAUAAAUCCCAUUUAAGCAUAGUGUAUAAUCCUUA